rnacentral:pre_miRNA from 1 species
UUGUGUCAUCAGGCCUCUGGCCUGUGUAAAUUUGGGACGAUUUGGGACGACGUCCCAAUUCGUCCCAAAAUCGUCCCAAAUUUACACAGGCCAGAGGCCUGGUGACACAAC